UAGGAGGUAGUGUAAUGGAAGCACUAGGAGUUUUGAUCUCCUAAGUAUGGGUUCAAGUCCCUUUUUCCUAA